ensembl:lncRNA
GAAGGGUAGGCCUGGGUGGGGAUGAGCUCAGGUGCCUGGCAUUCAGCAGAGAAAGCAGGUGGCAUCAGGGGUUAAGCACACAUGCUCUGGAACUAGCGGGAGUGGGUUUGAAUUCCAGCUCUGCUCUUUACUAGGUGUUGACCUGUGACACUGUUUUUAACGGCUCUAAGCCUCAACUUUCUCAUCUGUAAAAUAGCUAUUAGGUAGCAUUUAUCUCAUAGAGCUCAGGGAGCAAAUGAGACAAUGCAGGUGAAACGGGUGACCCAGUGCUUGGCACUUAGUGAGCAGUGGAUACAUGGGAGCCAUGGCUUAUUUUUAGGACACACAGAAUGACUUACAUUAGCUGAAGCCCAGGAACAUAGCGAACCCCAGGAGGCCCAGAGGUGUCCUCCGCGUGCACCCAGGAUCAGGAAGUGCUGGCCCUGCCGUCAUGCCCUCGCCAAGAGCCCUGCCCUCCUUUCUCUUUCCAGUCUGGCUCAGGCCGCGGCUACCUCGCCCACUCGUGGAGUCCCACCCCGAGGCCCUAGACCUUCGGGGCUCAGCUAGCCCCUUGGAUUCCAAGGGAAAUCAGGAAUCACGGCAGUCCACUCCAUCGAUUUAAGAACGAGGAAACCAGGGGAGGUGUAACUUGUCCAAGGAGCAGACGCGCUCAGAGAGGGGAAGAGACUUGCCCAAGGUCACAUAGCAAGUUUGAGCCAGAGCCCAGGCCAGCACACAGAUUGCCUGAGUGCCCUGCCAUCAGGGCCCCUGUAGGGCUUGGAAGAGGAAGAGGCUGAUGCAGGUGCCCAGUGCGACCAGCACAGAGAGCCCCCGGGACCUGGCUCUAGGAUGCUGACUGUGGGCAGGUUAACUGGGGGAAGACCCGCUGCCUCUCCAGGCAUGUACACUUCCUGUCUCUCAGGAGCCUGACGCCUGGAGAGGAGGAGGGAGUCGCUGCCAGGGCUCUGGAAACCCUGAGUAAUGGACAGGGGGGCCUCUGCCAGCUCCACCCGGGGAUGGCAGCUGCCCCCAGCAGGGAGCACCAACCACACACGUGGGAGGAACAGAUUGCUUAGACAGAUGCAGAAAGGCAGCCCAGAUUCUGAAACCGGUGGGAGAAUUGGGGCUCAGAAAAAACUAAAUAAUAGUAUAUUAUUCAUAAUAUAAUAUUUUAUUAUGUAUAAUAUAUUAUUACUACAUUGUAUUGAGCCCUUAGGAUGUGCCAGGCACUACUUCACAAUGUCUCGUGUAAUCCCCACAGCAAGCCUAGGAGGUGGAUAUUAAUAUUAUACCCACUUUCCAGAUGAAGAUACUGAGGCUUCAGGAGGUUCAGUCCCUUGCCCAAGGUUGCCAGGAAGGAAAGCUCACAAAAGAGGGUUUUUUUGGGGACUGGAAGACCUCUAGGUUUCCUUCUUCUUUCCUAACCCCAAGUUUUCAUACCAGCCCAGGCUUCCUCCUGCCUCCUCCCGGAUCUGCAGGCCGCCUUCCCCUCCUCCUCCCUCCUCCUGUUCUCAGUCUUCCCCAUCGCCUCCCCUUCUUCAAACCCUCGGCCCCUAAGGCUCAGAGGCUGAAGACACAGGGAUAGACUCUCCCUGACGCUGCACUUGGACCGCUAGCUGAGGAAGGUUAAAGAAAGCAGGUUUUGCAGCUCUUUGCAUAACAACAACAAAAAUUCUUUUCCCAAGAAAAGUGGUGUGCGCUCAGCAGUGCCUCCUCCAUGCACCUCUGAACACCCACCGCCCAAGACCAGGAGUCCCGGUUGUGGUUCAAGAGAAGGAAGGCAUUUCUAGUGGUUCAAGCUUAUUCGACAGCAGAGUGGGCAGCCUCUUGGGGCUCUGGGCCUCCCGUCACUGCAGAUGUCUCAGCACAGGCGGGAGGUCCCCUGUCCGAUGGUGGUGCCAAAGAAAUUCCUGGAUUCCCUUUCUCUUACUUGCUGAGAAAUCAAUUCCAGCCCUGGGAUUCCAGCUACAUUACCGCAAAAACAUCGGUCCUACUUGUAAUCAAAUUGGAUUCAGAGUUAGUGUGUACGUUUCUCGUCCAUCUCUGAAUAGAAAUCUAUCAAGGUGGCUGAUGUCAAGGGGAGGAGAAAGGACCCCUAGCUCUGUCAGGCGGGAGGACAGCGGCCUGGGGUGGGAAGGGAUACAUUGUGGUGGUAAUCUUGGGGUGGGCAGGGGGUUGAGAAAGGAAGGAAGACAUGGAAAAUGGCAUCUGGUGGAUUGUGGGGGCGCCUGCAGCAGAGGACUCUAGCAUGGGGAAGCAUUAGAGAAAGCCUGUUCCCAGAGUUCCAGGGGCCAAGCAGGGUCCCCAGGGGUCUCUCCCCCGUGGGGUUCAUCCCAGCCUUCUAGAUUUCCUGUCUUCAGCCUUGCUUCCCGCUCAAGCAGGGCCUUGAGAGGGUUAUGUUCAGGCGAGGAGCCCUCUUCCUCCAGCCCUGCACAGCCUGGACAUGGGUCUUUGGGCCCAGAGGUGUGUGAAGGAUGCCUCCUCCUGCCUAUGUCUCUGCCUAACGCCGGGUCCCAGCACCCUCCUUCCCAGAGCCUGUCACAAGAAUUAAGAAGUGGAGCGACGGCCUCAUCCCUCAGGGAAGGAAAGAGCUCCCCAAGUGAACCAAGGGCUCUCUCUGUGAGGCCUUCCGUGGCACAGGAUCGGGGGGAGAUUGGGGUGCAGUGGUCGUCCGGGGAGCCCUCCCAGGCCAGGCUUGGUGAAGCUACCGUGGCUUCUCAGGGUGUAGACCCAUGACUAUGAUGUCACAUGGGAUUUGGAGGCAUGGCUGGCACCUUGAGCUCAUUUCUUUUGGGACCUUGAAGGACUGAGACAGGAGGGCCUCGUGCCCUCAUGUCCCCACCCUGAAACCUCCUUUCCCCCAUAUGCUGCUCAGGCAAACAUACCCCUCCCCCACUUCUCCUACCCAAGAUAUGAAUGAUCCUUUCCCCCUUAGUAUUACCAUCACCGCCCUCAAACCCCGGUCCAUAACCAGUUGCAAUAUGUCAACCUAAUUUGAACCUGAUUCAAAUAAGCCGAAAGGAAGAUAUAUUUGUGAUACAAUUGAAAAUUUGGACACUGACUGGAUAUUUGUUGAUUUAAAGACAAUUUUUUAAUAAUGCUCUUUUUUUAGAACAGUUUUAGAUUUAUAGCAAAAUUAAGAAAAUAGUGCAGAAAGUUCCCACAUACCAUCCCUCCCCACCCAGUUUCCCCUAUUAUUAAUAUCUUCCAUUUGUAUAGAUACAUUUGACACAAUUAAUGAACCAAUUUUGAUACAUUAUUGUUAACUAAAGGCCAUAGUUUACUGAAAUUUCCUUAGUUUUUACUUAGUACCCUUUUUCUGCGCCAGGAUCCCCUCCAGGAUCCCACAUUACAUUUAGUUAUCCUGUCUCUUCAGGCUCUUCUCGGCUGGGACAGUUUCUUAGACUUUCCUUAUUUUCGAUGACCUUGGCAGUUUCGAGAAGUACCGGUCAGAUAUUUUGUAGAACGUCCCUCUAUUGGAAUUUGAUGUUUUUCUCAUGGUUAGACUGGGGUUUGGGGUUUGGGAGAGGAAGAUCACAGAGGUAAAGAGCCAUUCUCAUCACAUCCUGUCAGGGGUGCAUAGUAUCGGCAUGAUGUGUGACUGUUGACAUUGACCUUGAUCACCGGCCUGAGGUGGUGGUGGUCAGGUUCUCCACUGUAGUUACUCUUUCCCUCACUUUCCAUCUUCUUUGGAAGGAAGUCACUAUGGCCAGCCCACACUGAAGGGGUGGAAGCUAUGCUGCCCGCUCCCCAUUGAGGGCGGAGUAUCUACAUAAGUUAUUUAGAAUUCUUCUGCACGAGAGGUUUCUCUCUUCUCCCUCAUUUAUUUAUUUAUUCAAUUAUUUAUACCAGCAUGAACUCUGGGAUAUUUAUUUUAUACUUUGGGUAAUAAUCCCAUACUACCAUAUUUAUUUUGUUGCUCAGUUGUUCUAACUUUGGCCAGUGGAGCUAUGUCAGUUGGCUCGUGUGUCCCUUUGACAUAACCCCACCAGUGUGGGAUUUUUGUUUUCCCUUUGUUUAG